rnacentral:lncRNA from 1 species
UUAUGGGAUCACACCAAUAAAAAAAAUAUUAUGAGUUGUCAUGUGAUCACCUAAAAUCAUUCUAACACUCCUCCUCAAACUCAAGAUAACAUUACGGAUGUCAACUUGAGUUUGAAAAUUAGAUCAUGAAUGCACUCAAAAGUCAGUAUGAUAAACUAAUAUGUCUGUUGGUGUGGCUAAUUGAAAUGACAUGAUUGUAAGA